GACGAACGCUGGCGGCGUGCUUAACACAUGCAAGUCGAACGGAAAGGCCCCUUUGGGGGUACUCGAGUGGCGAACGGGUGAGUAACACGUGAGUAACCUGCCCAUGACUUCGGGAUAACUUCAGGAAACUGGGGCUAAUACCGGAUAGGAAUCCUUGCUGCAUGGUGGGGGUUGGAAAGCUUCGGCGGUUUUGGAUGGACUCGCGGCUUAUCAGCUUGUUGGUGGGGUAGUGGCUUACCAAGGCUUUGACGGGUAGCCGGCCUGAGAGGGCGACCGGCCACAUUGGGACUGAGAUACGGCCCAGACUCCUACGGGAGGCAGCAGUGGGGAAUAUUGCACAAUGGGCGGAAGCCUGAUGCAGCAACGCCGCGUGCGGGAUGACGGCCUUCGGGUUGUAAACCGCUUUCAGCAGGGGCGAAGCUUGUGGUGACGGUACCUGCAGAAGAAGCACCGGCUAACUACGUG
rnacentral:rRNA from 1 species